UUACUUUUGCGACACAAAAAAUAAAACACAAAAGAUUAAAAUUGUUACGCCUCUUCUCCCAUGAUCUCCACUUCGCCUUAAUUCGCUCAAUUAUGGAACAACAAGCUGAUUUCAUACAAAAGCUCUCAAUCUCUUCCUUUUCUCAUCCCUCUUUCUGCUUCCUUUAAUCGGGAUUACUUCUCUUCAACAACUGCUUCGACUCCCGCACGACCACGAUUCCCACAACAUGAUAUCAUACAAAAGCUUCAGUAUCUCUUCCUUUCCUAUUUCUGGUUUCCUCCAACUUUUCCGGUUUACAUGGUUGGCGGUUCCAGCACCACAACACCGGACCACAAUGACACUUCUCCCUUCCUCUUUAUUCCAAUCUUCGUUUCUUCUACAAGUUCUUUAGUUUGCUACUGAAGUUUCAAGGAAUUUUGGGUGUUUUAUGUCAUUUAUGUAGUUGUAUAGUAAAUUUGGAACGUGGAUAGGUUUUCUUCCGACAUUUAAGCCUCGGGUUAGAGUGUGAAUGAUUCAUCUCUCUUAGUUUGGUUUGAGAUUGACAUGUAAGCUUACAAGGUUUGAUUCUGAGACUGAAUGGUCAUGUUUGUAGGGUAUAGAUUUGAUCGCUGAAGGUAAUAGAAAAAAGACCAAAAGGACAGCUCCAAAGUGAGAUGAUGUCUACCCUAAGCUUAUUGUCAAGUUUUGUAGCUUUACCGUUUUCUGGUAAGGAGAACUCAGAGCAAGUUCAAUUUUGUGUGAUAUUGAAGAGGCUUUUCUCUAUCUAAGCUUGUGGAAUGCGUGACUGGCAAGGUUCCAUUUCGUUGAAACCCUCUCUCUUAUGUAUCUUUAUGUUGAAAUUGGUCUUUUAGAUCAUGAGUAUUCUGCUUCAUUUCUUUAGAACCAGUUUCCAAUUUGUGAACCUAAAGUGGUUACUGAUAAUCCCCAACUUAGUAUCCAACAUGGAUGUGUUCAUUA